UGAGGAAUAUUAGAAAUGGACGAAAGUCUGAUCUAGCAACACCGCGUGUGCGAAGAAGGCCUUCGGGUUGUAAAGCACUUUUUGGAAGGAUUAGGAAGGAAUGUACUUCCAGAAUAAGUCUCGGCUAACUACGUGCCAGCAGCCGCGGUAACACGUAGGAGGCAAACGUUAUCCGGAUUUACUGGGCGUAAAGCGCGUGUAGGUGGUUCUGUAAGUAGGGCGUGAAAGCUCCUGGCUCAACUGGGAGAGGCCGUUCUAAACUACAGAACUAGAGGAUGGUAGAGGGAGGUGGAAUUCCAGGUGUAGCGGUGGAAUGCGCAGAUAUCUGGAGGAACACCAGUGGCGAAGGCGGCCUCCUGGACCAUUCCUGACACUCAGACGCGAAAGCUAGGGUAGCAAACA
rnacentral:rRNA from 1 species